rnacentral:lncRNA from 1 species
AUAUAACAAAAACAAACCUUUUUUUUUUACCCUUAUUGUAAUUUUGUAGACCAGUGAUAAUGUGGAAAGACUAGUGAUAAUAACUCAGUUACUUGUUACUCCAGUGUAAACCAGAACUGAAGGUUCCUGGUCUAUACGUGGUGGAUUCCAUCGUCCGACAGUCCCGACAUCAGUUUGGAGUGGAUAAGGACGUCUAUGGACCCAGGUUCCAGAAAAACUUCACCCCGACUUUCCAGAACCUCUACCUCUGUCCACACGAUGACAAGAGUAAGAUCAUCCGUGUUCUCAACCUGUGGCAGAAGAACGCUGUAUUUGAGAUGGACAUCGUCCAGCCCCUGUUGGACAUGGCUGCUGGCUCCUUAGUCCCUGCUCCCUCCCCCCAGGAGGACCUCCAGACCCAGCCCCAGGUGCCCAGUUCUUCCAUAGCUGCAGUCCACACCCCGGUCUCCAGUUCUUCCAUAGCAGAAGGCCUGCCCCAAGUCUCCAGUGCCUCCAUAGCAGCAGCCCUGCCCCAGCUCCCCCCACAGCUCCAGAACCCUGAGGCCCUGGCUGCUGUGGCACAGCUUUUCCAGUCUGGACAGGGACACGAGCUUCAGAAGAUCCUCCAGAGGUUCCAGCCAGGGCAACAGACUCCACCUAUGGUUCACAACACCAUGGCUGACCAGAACCACUCACAGAUGGUCCAAGGCCAGCAUAAUACACACCAUCCACUGUUGAACACACACCAGACACAUCCUGAGCAGAAGAAUUCACUAGCUAAGGUAAUGAAGUUUUGUACUUUAGGCACAUUUUUGACCAACAGACAAUUUCAGAGGCCUAAUCUAACAGGACAGCUUUUGAUUCCUGAUUUAUUAGGAUCGCAAUUAGCGACAGCUAGUCUUACUGGGGUCCAACACAUAAUACAAUAGUUUUUUUGUAUGUCACAUAUUACAUUUAUUUCAAGCCCUUUUUACAUUAGUAGAUGUCACAAAGUGCUGUACAGAAACCCAGCCUAAAAUCCCAAACAGCAAGCAAUGCAAAUGUAGAAACAUGGUGGCUAGGAAAAACUCCCUAUAAAGGCAGGAACCUAGGAAGAAACCUAGAGGGGAACCAGGCUGAGAAAGGUGACCAGCCCUCUGUCUGUGCCGGGUGGAGAUUAUAACGGAACAUGGCCAUUAAGGCCCAAGCGUUCAUAGAUGACCAGCAGGGUCAAAUAAUAAUCACAGUGGUUGUUGAGGGUGCCACAUGUCAGUACCUCACAAGUAAAUGUCAGUUGUCUUUUCAUAGCUGAGCAUUCAGAGGUCGAGACAGCAGGUGCGCUAGAGAGAGAGUUGAAAACAGCAGGUCCGGGACAAGCUAGCACGUCCGGUGAACAUGUCAGGGUUCCAUAUCAGCAAGCAGUACAUCCAGGUUGGACUGAGUACAGCCAGGUUGGACUGAGUACAGCCAGGUUGGACUGAGUACAGCCAGGUUGGACUGAGUACAGCCAGGUUGGACUGAGUACAGCCAGGUGGGACUGAGUACAGCCAGGUGGGACUGAGUACAGCCAGGUGGGACUGAGUACAGCCAGGUGGGACUGAGUACAGCCAGGUGGGACUGAGUACAGCCAGGUGGGACUGAGUACAGCCAGGUGGGACUGAGUACAGCCAGGUGGGACUGAGGCAUGGUCCUAGUGGAGGGGAGAGA